rnacentral:tRNA from 1 species
GAGGGUGUAGCUCAGUGGUAGAGUGCAUGCCUAGCAUGCACGAGGUCCUGGGUUCAAUCCCAGGUACCUCA